rnacentral:rRNA from 1 species
UACGUAGGUGGCAAGCGUUGUCCGGAUUUACUGGGCGUAAAGAGCGCGCAGGCGGUCGGUUAAGUCGAGUGUGAAAGCCCCCGGCUCAACUGGGGAGGGUCAUUCGAAACUGGUCGACUCGAAGGCAGGAGAGGGUAGUGGAAUUCCCGGUGUAGUGGUGAAAUGCGUAGAUAUCGGGAGGAACACCAGUGGCGAAGGCGACUACCUGGCCUGUACUUGACGCUGAGGCGCGAAAGCUAGGGGAGCAAACGGG